AAUUCCUCUUCUUCUCCAUUCUCUCUGAAGCCUCUAAGAUCCUAGUCUCGCCAUCAUAGAAACCCUUCGAUCCAUGGGUUUCUUUGUCGACUCCCAGUUUUAUCCGUCCUCCUAUCUCUACUGGUGUUUCGUUUCUUGUAUUUCUUGGGAAUAAUCUCAAGAAGAUCGAAGCCAGAUUUGGUCCAAACCCCUCAUGUUCUCGAUUAAUCCAUCUGUAUUCACCCUAUGUUUGUGAGUAUUAUCAUUCUUUGUACUUUCAUGGCUUUAAAUCUCCGAUUUAAAACCAGACCUUAUCCCACCUCUGUUUAUUUUCGUACAAUCCUAGCUAUUUUUUUCUAAAGUAGUUCAGAUCUUUUAGAUCUGAAGUGUUUGAGUUUUUUUUAAUACUUUCCUUUUAAGUUUCUUCCAUUUUUACAAUUAUUAUCUACCCAUUUCCCUUUUUCCAAAAGCUAGAGUUUUGAUUCCUAAAGGAUUUUUGCAAAAAGGUUUUGAAGCAAUUUUGUCUUUCUUCUUUACUGUAAGAAUGAUUUCUUUGCUUGAGCGUCAUCUCUGUGUUUCGAUAUGCUUAGGGUUCUCAAAUACUCGACUAAUUUUCUCAGUAUUCUUGACCAUCUGCUUUAGCUCUAUCAACUGAAGUAAUUAAUUGCGUUAUUUGCCUAUUUAGGUUUUGGUAUUAUUUUUAAACUAGCAUCUCUCUGAAACUAGCAUAUAUAUAUAUAUAUAUAUAUAUAUAUAUAUACACAUGAUUCAUAGUUAGUAAUACUUUACUUAAUUAUGUUACUGACUUGAUUUCUAGGCCUUGAUCACUAUGACAGAAUUGCUUACCUUAUCAAACUUCAGUCUUGUCUUUUAAUUGAUACUAUAUGAAAUUCUCCUUAAUUCAAGUGAUACUUCCGUGAUCCUGUCCUAUUAAUUGAUUUGUGUUUGACUCUAAUUGAUUGAUUAAUUAAUUUUCAUACCUUAUGCAUAUAUGAUUGAUUUGCUUACCUUAUUUGAAUUCCAAUAUGAAUCGUUAAGGGAUUUAUCUGUAGGUCGAGGAACCACGUGCCAUACCUUGUUCCUCUAAAAUUGAUGAAGUUCUUCUUGCAUGGUUGUGAUCCAAUCUGCAUCUUUUAGUGCUUCCUUGAUAUUUUUGGGAUAGUGAAAAGUUGAGAAGGUAAGUGAGUUUCUGGUCUUUGAUCUGGUUUGAAUUCUUGAAUCAAGAGGAGUAAUGAUGUUAUCAAGGGGGUGUUAACUUUUAUGUUUCUAGUUAGACACCUGGACCUCUUUGUGAGAAGGUCCAUGUAUUUUUCCUGUGAGCCUUGAUUGCUUUUUGUC
rnacentral:lncRNA from 1 species